UACGGAGGGUGCUAGCGUUGUUCGGAAUUAUUGGGCGUAAAGGGAGCGCAGGUGGGUCGAAAAGUCGGAUGUGAAAGCCCUCGGCUUACCCGAGGAAGUGCACUCGAAACUCUCGAUCUUGAGUACUGGAGAGGGAAGCGGAAUUCCCGGUGUAGAGGUGAAAUUCGUAGAUAUCGGGAGGAACACCAGUGGCGAAGGCGGCUUCCUGGACAGAUACUGACACUGAGGCUCGAAAGCGUGGGUAGCAAACAGG
rnacentral:rRNA from 1 species